ensembl:snRNA U6 U6 spliceosomal RNA
GUGUUCCCUUUGGUAGCACAUAUACUAAAAUUGGAACAAUACAGAAAAGAUUAACAUGGCUCCUGCACAAGGAUAACAUGCAAACUCUUGAAGCAUUCCAUAUUUUU